rnacentral:rRNA from 1 species
ACUCAAAGGAAUUGACGGGGGCCCGCACAAGCGGUGGAGCAUGUGGUUCAAUUCGACGCAACGCGAAGAACCUUACCCAGGCUCGAACGGCAAUUGACAUCCGGUGAAAGCCGGCUCCCGCAAGGGCAAUUGUCGAGGUGCUGCAUGGCUGUCGUCAGCUCGUGUCGUGAGAUGUUGGGUUAAGUCCCGCAACGAGCGCAACCCUUGUCCGCUGUUGCCAUCAGGUUAAGCUGGGCACUCUGCGGAGACUGCCGGUGAUAAACCGGAGGAAGGUGGGGAUGACGUCAAGUCAGCAUGGCCUUUAUGUCUGGGGCUACACACGUGCUACAAUGGCCGGUACAAACCGUCGCGAUACCGCAAGGUGGAGCUAAUCGGAGAAAGCCGGUCUCAGUUCGGAUUGCAGGCUGCAACUCGCCUGCAUGAAGUUGGAAUCGCUAGUAAUCGCGGAUCAGCACGCCGCGGUGAAUACGUUCCCGGGCCUUGUACACACCGCCCGU